UACAGAGGUCCCAAGCGUUGUUCGGAUUCAUUGGGCGUAAAGGGUGCGUAGGUGGCGCCGUAAGUCGGGUGUGAAAUUUCGGAGCUUAACUCCGAAACUGCAUUCGAUACUGCCGUGCUUGAGGACUGGAGAGGAGACUGGAAUUUACGGUGUAGCGGUGAAAUGCGUAGAUAUCGUAAGGAAGACCAGUGGCGAAGGCGGGUCUCUGGACAGUUCCUGACGCUGAGGCACGAAGGUCAGGGGAGCAAACGGG
rnacentral:rRNA from 1 species